CGCGGGCGAGGGCGCGAGCGGCGCUCCGCUCACUCCCGCUCUUCCAGGACGCAGGUCCUCUUUCUUACCACCCUCUUCAUUUCACAGAGACAGCCCCGGGAGUUCGCCCAGUGCUCCCCGGACUUGGGUGAAGGAAGGCACGGAAAAGUACCCUGCCUGGAGAAAAGGGAGAAGCGAUCCGUCAGCCCGGAGACGACCAGUCGCCUAGAGAUUGGGUUCCAUCUGCGAAGAAACCAGCGGCCAAACCUAGGGGUCCAGUUGAGAAACGGAUCGUGGGCGUGGGUUUCAGGCGAAGAUGCUGGAGAUCCUGCCCGGACUUACACACACACACACCACCGUCCACCACCCCGAAGAGGGGAAGAGAAAGAAAGAAAAACCAACUCCGGGCAGGCCUGCUCCAAGCCGUCUAGAUGCAGACCGACUGACCUCCCUCUUCUCGCCCCGCCCGCUUCCAGUGUGACCCCAAGCCCAACCUGAAUUUGUUCUGAGUGUCUGAAUGGGGGGGAAAGUGAAAUGCCACAAGAUCAGCAGCAAUAGCAGCUGCGCGUUUCCCUCCUGGGAACCCCACUGCUUCGAAGCCUCCCGAAUGGUGUUUGUUUAACCAACAGCUCUCAAAGUAAACAGGCGGAUCACUCCGAAGAAGGUGAAAUAUACAACCCUGACUAGAAUGUUGGGUCCGGGUGCUGGCAGAAAAAAAGUAAUUUUUAAAAACAAUAUAGCCCCCCACCCCAAUAAUAGUCCACCACAAAGAGCUUAAAAGGACCCGUCAUUUUGUCAUAAAAGUAUCAAUUCAUUGAAA